rnacentral:lncRNA from 1 species
CAGUAAACAACAGAGCUAACUCAAAAAAAAAAUUGAGUCAACCCAGUGACUGUAACGGCUAAUUUUUCAAAACUUCAGCUUUUUGCUCAAAACAACUCCCAACAGCUAGUUUUUCUCCUCCAAUGGUCCAAACUCAUUCUCCAACCAUUGUCAAGCCUAUUUAAAGAUGGAGAAUCAAAAAAAAAAAGUAAGUGGAUUUAUACGAAGAAAAAUCUUCAAAUUUGUGAGAGCUCCAUUGAAUAUCCAAGAGAAAGAGAAAAGAGAGGA